rnacentral:rRNA from 1 species
CCUACGGGUGGCAGCAGUGAGGAAUAUUGGUCAAUGGGCGAGAGCCUGAACCAGCCAAGUCGCGUGAGGGAGUACUGCCCUAUGGGUUGUAAACCUCUUUUGUCGGGGAGCAAAAGCCGGACGUGUCCGGCUGUGAGAGUACCCGAAGAAAAAGCAUCGGCUAACUCCGUGCCAGCAGCCGCGGUAAUACGGAGGAUGCGAGCGUUAUCCGGAUUUAUUGGGUUUAAAGGGUGCGCAGGCGGAAGAUCAAGUCAGCGGUAAAAUUGAGAGGCUCAACCUCUUCGAGCCGUUGAAACUGGUUUUCUUGAGUGAGUGAGAAGUAUGCGGAAUGCGUGGUGUAGCGGUGAAAUGCAUAGAUAUCACGCAGAACUCCGAUUGCGAAGGCAGCAUACCGGCGCUCAACUGACGCUCAUGCACGAAAGUGUGGGUAUCGAACAGGAUUAGAUACCCGAGUAGUC